rnacentral:rRNA from 1 species
GACGGAGGGGGCAAGCGUUGUCCGGACUCACUGGGCGUAAAGGGUGCGCAGGCGGCAGAGCGCGUCCGCGCUGAAAUCUGUCGGCUUAACUGACAGGCGCGUGCGGAUACGGCUCAGCUCGAGGCACGGAGAGGGUGGGGGAACUCCUGGUGUAGUGGUGAAAUGCGUAGAGAUCAGGAAGAACACCCGUGGCGCAAGCGCCCACCUGGCCGUGACCUGACGCUGCGGCACGAAAGCGUGGGGAGCAAACAGG